UACGUAGGGGGCGAGCGUUGUCCGGAUUUAUUGGGCGUAAAGAGCGUGUAGGCGGCCAGGUAGGUCUGCUGUGAAAACUCGAGGCUCAACCUCGAGACGUCGGCGGAAACCAUCUGGCUAGAGUCCGGAAGAGGAGAGUGGAAUUCCUGGUGUAGCGGUGAAAUGCGCAGAUAUCAGGAAGAACACCGGUGGCGAAGGCGGGUCUCUGGACAGUUCCUGACGCUGAGGCACGAAGGUCAGGGGAGCAAACGGG
rnacentral:rRNA from 1 species